GCUUGUAGGUUCCUAUCCCUGUUGUUUCCGUUGUUGGCCUGGGACGCCGCGGAUGACCCUACACAGCCCUCGGCCAGCUUCCCGGAAGACUGCGUCUCGUACUGACGAUCGUAACAAAGAUUACCGUGCUUUACUUCUGAGGUUUUAGUCGCACUAAUACGUGCAGCAGGCUAACCACGUGGAAGUUUGCGGGAGAGUAAGCGCCUGUGAGGACCUGUUGGGCAUUUGGGAAAGUUGGUGACUACACUGCUUAAUUUGGAAUGCCCAGUUGAGAUCCAGAAGCCAAGAAGGGGACCUACUUGGCCAAGAUGGCUGUAUCAGGAUGGGUGCACAUACGAUUUUAGGCCAUGGGCCUGAGGUAUGCCCUCUGACCUCCCUAUCCCAUCCAGGCUUUGGGCAGCUCUAAAUUUACCCUGGUAAUUAGCCCACGCCCUAAAUUAUGAACUGGAUUGGGUUGGCUUGGGUUUGACUCUAUUUCUAAGGUUAGUGAAGUGAGAUCUGUGGUAGUGGCACUAGGGAUGGGGGACCCUCUAAGACUCAACAAUCUCUGUCUAACUGUACUCUUUCUUCAAAGAAAAUUAUGAGUUGGUUGGUGAUAGCUGAUCCUUUGAGUUCAAGGCCAGCCUGGUCUACAAAGCAAGUUCCAGGAUAGCUGGGGCUACUACAAGAAGAAACCCUGUCUUGAAAAACAAGAGAGAAUGAUACAGGAGGGGAAACUGGCUGGGUGCUGUGACACAAAUUAAAACCUGUUGAUUCUGGAGUCUG